AACAGGAUUAGAUACCCUGGUAGUCCACGCCCUAAACGAUGUCAACUAGCUGUUGGGGGUUUGAAUCCUUGGUAGCGUAGCUAACGCGAGAAGUUGACCGCCUGGGGAGUACGGCCGCAAGGUUAAAACUCAAAGGAAUUGACGGGGACCCGCACAAGCGGUGGAUGAUGUGGAUUAAUUCGAUGCAACGCGAAAAACCUUACCUACCCUUGACAUGUCCGGAACCCUGGUGAGAGCUGGGGGUGCCCGAAAGGGAAUCGGAACACAGGUGCUGCGUGGCUGUCGUCAGCUCGUGUCGUGAGAUGUUGGGUUAAGUCCCGCAACGAGCGCAACCCUUGUCAUUAAUUGCCAUCAUUUGGUUGGGCACUUUAAUGAGACUGCCGGUGACAAACCGGAGGAAGGUGGGGAUGACGUCAAGUCCUCAUGGCCCUUAUGGGUAGGGCUUCACACGUCAUACAAUGGUCGGUACAGAGGGUUGCCAAGCCGCGAGGUGGAGCUAAUCCCAGAAAACCGAUCGUAGUCCGGAUCGCAGUCUGCAACUCGACUGCGUGAAGUCGGAAUCGCUAGUAAUCGCGAAUCAGAAUGUCGCGGUGAAUACGUUCCCGGGCCUUGUACACACCGCCCGUCACACCAUGGGAGUGGGUUGCACCAGAAGUAGCUAGUCUAACCUUCGGGGGGACGGUUACCACGGUGUGAUUCAUGACUGGGGUGAAGUCGUAACAAGGUAACC
rnacentral:rRNA from 1 species